GUGCAGAGCCCCGAGGGAGGAGGUGCCUGGCUUGCUCAGACAGUAAGGAGGCAAGUGCUGAAGGACGGACCACUCUCUGGAGUCAAGCACAGGGCAACGAGCGUCAAAGAGGACAAUGAGCCUCGGCAUUCAAACAGGAAGGUCGUUGCUUCGCGCCUCCGGGAGACCUGCUGCUGCUGGAUGAGGAAGACGCCAGACGGCUCUGCUGUGUGGGUUGCAGACCCUGCCGGCCAGCUACGGAAUGGUUACCCAGCCAGACAGCGAGACCCUGAUAACCCUGCCACACGCAAACUCAUUUAGCAAAGCAUUGCAAUGGGCCAUCGCUGUGGCACGUGGACUGAUGGAUUGCACAGCCGUUAUUGUGUGCUUACAAGGGAAAUUAGGAGUAAUUAAUGGGCUGGGGAUCAAUAGCAGUACUAUAGUGCAGUGAACGAUUUAAUUUUCUUUCUGAGUUAAGAAGGAAGCGCAAAGAGCUCACAUAGAAUAGAUGGGUCAGAGUCAUAGACAUGAACUACUAAAUUGCAUGGUUUAUAUAAAAGUUUUAAUUGUUAGCUUUGAAUUUACUUUUUGAAAAAGUAAUGCAUGCACAUGGUCACUCAGUACAAAAUGGUAUAAAAUGCUUACUCUCAGAGGCAA